GUGGAACACUCCCACGAUGACGUCAAAUAGCGUGCUCGACGUCAGAACAGCUGAGUACCAGAGGCAGCUAACCAUUGCGUCUGUGCAGGAAUCAAGGAAACAUGCACAGAAAUGGGUAAAGACACAUUUUUAUUUUAUUUUUUAAAGGUGUUGGCCAGUGAUCAAGAUCUUACCAGAGCGUGUGCAGUUAAAGACACUUUCUACGUGACUAUAGAACUCGUCUCCGAGGAUGGAUUGGGAGGUCAUGUGACUCGUGUGGACCAAACACUGAGUUGCAUCUUUAAACAGCAGAUCACUUUCUCCGUACUGCUGAGACUCAAAGAGCUUAAACUCAGUGUUUGGGUUAGCUGUCAAAGUUUCCUGUAAGGUUGUUGAAACGUAUCUGUUUAGAAUAUAAAGCUUUAGAAGAGUAAAUAUACAAAUACACUGAUUUAAUUUGGUAAUUACAAACUUAAAUCAAAUUGAGCUCAUUUCAGACUACUCAUGAAAAUAUGUUGUGUGGCUACUUUUUUUUUUAUAUCUAAAAAAACCCCUUUUUUUUCUUUAAAAUAAAAACAUAAAGCGUUAACUACAGUGGAAAGAAGAACCCCUGAUUUUAAACCCUGACCUGUGAUUUCAUCAGGAAGUCAUACACUCUCGCUGUUAACACAGGUCGCGUCAUGACGGUGUUUGGAGGGACAACUCCAAGGUUACAGCUCUCCCACUCUGACAGUGGAGCCCGACGCCCAUCACCACAGAGCAGCUCAAAGUCUGAUGACGUCCAGCCCUCUGCCCAACCAGUGGAGCUCAAACCUGAGAAGGUCAAGCAUGACAAUGAGAUACAAUAAGCAUACAUUAGUGUGAGUUUUCAGGUCAUAACUUCGUCUUGAAAACCUCACUGAGGAUGUUGUCAUGAAGGUUGUGCUGCUCAAGGAAGGCCACAUCACCGUAGCUUUUACCACUGGGAUCUCCAACCAGACACCUUUAUAAGUAUAAGAUUUAAGAGUCAUUUCAGCCAAAUUAUUACACACAUUUUCAACAACAAAAAACAGUCCCUCUCCACGACAUAAAUAGACAUAAUAUUUGCAGAUUAGUGACGAUAGAAAGGCAACUGUCUAUGGAAAGUGCCAAUGCUGUUAAUUUCUGUCUUUCAACAACUGAUAAAGUGUAGGCCUAAUCCGCCCCCAAAUUCAACAUCUCUGUCAUGCAUCAUGCGUUUUCUUGGAAACUGCAACUGGAUGCUUUGAAUUUCCCUUGGGAUCAAUAAAGUUACCUAUCUAUUUAUUUAUCCAUCUCUAAGCUACAUUUUUGUUUUUUGUCACCAUGAGCGCUGUUAGCCAUUGUUUUUAAUAAUAGAUCAGCUCUAGCUCAGCAUCAAAGAACAAACUACUCCACUGUAAGUGUUUUUCCAUAUCAAUGUGUAACAUGACUUAUGUAAGGAAUAAUGCAUAGUUACAGUUAGUGGGUUAUUCGCAGAAUGGAAGGGUCAGGGUGAGCAAGACAACAGUAUUUCUCAUUUGACCUGAAGGAGUUCCUCCGGGACAACAAUCCGCCUACUAUUUAUUUUCCUGAUUGUUACACGGCCACUUACAAAAGAAAUCAAUAAUCUGAAACAAAAUACUGAUUUGGAAUUUUAUUGACUUAAAAAUGAUUGAUUUCUUCUGCUUAACAGAUAGUCGUUUGGAAUCUACAGUUAGAGCUGCGUCCAUAGCAACAAUUAACUCCGUAUCCUUCAUAAAAUGAGCGGAUUAAGCCGCCAUUUCUCACAUUAAACUGAACAUUUUCACUGAUGCUGAAGUGAGACAAGGUGAACAGGUCGAUGUGAAGCAGCACAGGACCUGGUUGAGUUUUUCUGCUUUGUCAGGGAUUUUAGUGACAUUUUCAUUUAUUUCCCAGUUUCUAAAACAUCUAUGUAUACCUUACCAUGAUCUGCCCUGUUCUAUCUUCAUGUGCCAUCUUCAGCUUUGUAGAUUUUUCUGUCAUAACCUGCAGUUCCUGUGUCUUUUAACCUCUUUCCUCCGUUGUCAUCCUCUCUUUUCUACUUUGCCCGCAUUAAACAAACGUCAAAUUAUUCGGUA